UAUCAUUGGCUAUACGCAACUUCUCCUACCUCCUCACCGUUCCAUCAUCCGCUAUCGAUACGCCAAUAAAUUCAGACGAGAUACAAUACAUUCAGGGAGAGAGCGAUAAUAACGAUAUUGAUAAAGACAAAAAGAAGUAAUUGAUCACGAUGAAGGAAUAAUAAUGGAUAUUUAAAUGUGAUCACGACGAAUGUUGUAUUAACACUGAAACAAAUGCAACUCGAGAAAAUAGAUGAAAUACACGUAGUUUCUGGUAAAUGCGUUUCAUGACCUCGUUCUUAUCGGUACGAGGAGUCAAUCGAUGACCGCCCGCAAAUCACGGGUCAACGACUCGGUCAACAACGAGCUCCCUCACAAUAACUCUAUAAAUCUCGGGACACUUUCUGGGAAUCGGAAGUCAUAAUGCUGUCGUUUCCACUUCUGAUGCUCGAUGGAACGUUGCAUAUAGAGUUGUUUGCCAGUUUUCUUUCGCUACUUCGGAAAUGAUCUCAUUUGCACGAUAUAGAAAUAUCUUGAUGAAACUUUUUCACCAAUCUUUCUUUCCUUUCGUGCAACUUUUUUAAAGAUAUGAAUAGAAAUAAUAUAUAUGUAUAAAGUAAAUAAGUAAGUUAUAAAUAAUAUGUUAAACUA